rnacentral:misc_RNA from 1 species
GAUGAAGAACGCAGCGAAAUGCGAUAAGUAAUGUGAAUUGCAGAAUUCAGUGAAUCAUCGAAUCUUUGAACGCACCUUGCACCCUUUGGCAUUCUGAAGGGUAUGCUCGUUUGAGUGUCAUUGUACUCUCACACUCCCGAUCUUUGCAUUGGGAGCAGUGGACUUGGGUUUGCUGCUUCACCGUCGCUUACCUCAAAUAGGUUAGUGCAACUCUUGGUUGGACAUAGUACGGCGUGAUAAGUGUUCUUCGCCGGUGCCUCGCAAAGAGGGUGGCCGAUCGGAAUGUUGUGCUCCAAACCGUCUUCGGACAAUCUCUGACGACUUGACCUCAAAUCGAGUAAGACUACCCGCUGAACUUAAGCAUAUCAAUAAGCGGAGGA